GAUGAAGAACGUAGCGAAAUGCGAUAAGUAAUGUGAAUUGCAGAAUUCAGUGAAUCAUCGAAUCUUUGAACGCAUCUUGCGCUCCUUGGUAUUCUGAGGAGCAUGCCUGUUUGAGUGUCAUUAAAUUCUCAACUACACUGACUUUGAAUUGGUGUGGCUUGGAUUUGGGGGGAAAAUUGUUGUGGGCUUUUUGUAUAGUCUGCUCCCCUGAAAUUGAUUAGCGGUACGUUUGUGGAACUGUCUACAGGUGUGAUAAUUAUCUACAUCUUAGACAUCUGCUGGAAUGCUGCUUUCUAAACCUUACUUGUAUUGACAAUCUUGACCUCAAAUCAGGUAGGACUACCCGCUGAACUUAAGCAUAUCAAUAAGCGGAGGA
rnacentral:misc_RNA from 1 species